GAGGUUGUGGCUCAGUUGUAGAGUACUUGCCUCACAUAUAUGAGACACUGGGUUCGAUUCUCAGCACCACA
rnacentral:tRNA from 1 species